AUUGAACGCUGGCGGCAUGCCUAACACAUGCAAGUCGAGCGAGCGGCGGACGGGUGAGUAAUGUAUGGGGACUGCCCGAUAGCGGGGGAUAACUACUGGAAACGGUAGCUAAUACCGCAUACUAUCGGAUAACCCAUAUGGGAUUAGCUAGUAGGUGGGGUAAUGGCUGACCUGGGCAACGAUCCCUAGCUGGUCUGAGAGGAUGAUCCGCCACACUGGGACUAGGACACGGCCCAGACUCCUACGGAGGCAGCAGUGGGGAAUAUUGCGCAAUGGGCGCAAGCCUGAUGCGGCAAUGCCGCGUGGAUGAAGAAGGCCUUCGGGUUGUAAAGUACUUUCAGUGGGGAGGCGUUACCGACAGAAGAAGCACCGGCUAACUCCGUGCCAGCAGCCGCGGUAAUAC
rnacentral:rRNA from 1 species